UACGGGGGGGGCAAGCGUUGUUCGGAAUUACUGGGCGUAAAGGGCUCGUAGGCGGCCAACUAAGUCAGACGUGAAAUCCCUCGGCUUAACCGGGGAACUGCGUCUGAUACUGGAUGGCUUGAGUUUGGGAGAGGGACGCGGAAUUCCAGGUGUAGCGGUGAAAUGCGUAGAGAUCCGGAGGAACCCCAGAGGCGAAGGCGACGCCCUGGCUCGUACCUGACGCUCAGCCACGAAAGCAUGGGGAGCGAACGGG
rnacentral:rRNA from 1 species